rnacentral:rRNA from 1 species
AUUUUUAAAAUAGAAAUUUAUUAAUUGUUUUUUUUUAUAAUAAUUUUAUUAAAAAUAAUUUUAAAUUUUUUAUUUUUAGUAUAUUUUAUAUAAAAAAUAAAUUUUAUGAUAAUUUAUUAUGUAUUGAAAAAGAAAAUUGAAAUAAAUUGAAAAAUAAUUUUUAUAAAAGAAAAAUUUAUUUUUUGUACCUUGUGUUUCAUGAUUAAUUAAAUAAACUUUAAAAUUUUAAUUUUCUCGAAUUUUAAAGAUUUAAUUUUAAAUGGUUUUUUUUGUUUAAAAAAAAUUUUUAAUUUAAAAUUAGAAAUUAAAAGUUAUUCGUUUUUUAAGAUAUCUAGUUUUUUAAGAAAUAAAUUAAAUUUAUUUUUUUAAAUAAUUAUUUUAAUUAUUUUUUAUUAUUAAAAUUAAUUAAUUUAAAAAUUAAAUAUUUUAAGGGAUGAUCUUUAAAAUAAAAUUUUAUAAAUUAAAUUUAUUAAAAAAAAAUAAAAUAAUCUUAAAAAUAGAUAUUUUUAAAAAAUAUGUUAUUAUUUAAUUAAAUUUUUAUAAAAAAAUUUUUAUAAUUUUUUAAUUUUUUAUUAAAAUUUUUAUUUAAAUUUUAUAAAUAAAUUAAAUAUGAUUAAAUUAGUAAAAUAAAAAUUAUUUAAAAUUUAUUUUAUUUAAUAAAUUUUUAUUUAAUAAUUCAGCAAAAUUUUAUAUUUAAAUGUUUAACAAAAACAUUUUUUUUUAAAAAUUUUAUAAAAAAUAUAACCUGCCCAAUGAAAUUAUAUUUUUAAAGGCCGCAGUAUUUUGACUGUGCAAAGGUAGCAUAAUCAUUAGUCUUUUAAUUGAAGACUUGUAUGAAUGGUUGAAUAAGAUAUAAGCUUUUUUAAUAAUUUUAUUUAAAUUUUUUAUUUUUGUUAAAAAUCAAAAAUAUUAUUUAAAGACGAUAAGACCCUAUAAAGCUUAAUAAAAAUUUUAAUAAAUUUUAUUAGAAUAUUAAAAUUUUUAUUACAUUUUUUAUUUUAUUGGGGUGAUAAUAAAAUUUUUAAACUUUUAUUUAUUUUUUAAUUAAUUUUUUUUAAUUUUUUUUUGAUCCAAUAUUUGAUUAAAAGGUUAAGUUACUUUAGGGAUAACAGCGUUAUUUUUUUAAAGAGUUCUAAUCGAUAAAAAAUAUUGCGACCUCGAUGUUGGACUAAGAGUAAGUUUAGGUGUAGAAGUUUAAAUUUUUAGUCUGUUCGACUAUUAAAUUCUUACGUGAUCUGAGUUCAAACCGGUUUAAGCCAGGUUGGUUUCUAUCUUAAAUAAUUUAAAAAUAUUUUAGUACGAAAGGACCAAAUAUUUGUUUUUAAAAUUUAUUUAUUUUGAAUUAUUCUAAAUUUUAAAAAAAAAAUUAUUAAAAAAUUUGUUUUAAAAAAUAUUAAAUUAAA